AGAAACAUGCCUCUGCUAAGUAUGGAAAUCUUAUUCGUACAAGCCAUAUACAGCAACAGGGAUCGAAAAUCCCCUUUCCACCUAAAGAAAUGGUUAUCGCGGAAAAAUGGAUCAAUAUUGGGUCCUGAACCGUUUGGAAACUGAGAAACGGACAAUCAAUGUCCUUCGUUUCGCUUCCUUUAUGUGGCAGAGAGAGUGGUGCUCCUUCAGCGCCAAUUUGUUUAUUAAAUUAGGAAUAUAAGUAUAGAAGAGGAAGGACAGUAACAAAACUGCACCAUUGAGCAGACUUUAUAUUAAGAAUAAGGGAAGUCGUAGAUGGAUGCCAACUAAUCACGUGUUAUUGUUCACGUGCUUAGCUAAUUCUGAGAGACGCUCCAGAAAGCAUUAUUGUUAAGGAUUGUUCACUAAUAAAACUUAAAAAUAUAAAAAGUUAAUAACGUAUUUCUUGAAGUAAACUAUUGUUACCGUAAAAUAAAAGCUAGUGAAACAACUCUAAGGAAGUGCGAAAAUUUACGGAAGGAAUCGGAAAGCUAAUUAA